rnacentral:rRNA from 1 species
GACGUAGGGGGCAAGCGUUGUCCGGAAUUACUGGGCGUAAAGGGCGUGUAGGCGGUGGUCCACGUAGCGGUUUUCAGCCGUCGGCUCACCCGACGGAGGGCGGCUAAACGGGGCCGCUGGAGGGCAGGAGAGGUGCACGGAAUUCCUGGUGGAGCGGUGAAAUGCGUAGAGAUCAGGAAGAACACCCGUGGCGAAGGCGGUGCACUGGCCUGACCCUGACGCUGAGGCGCGACAGCGUGGGGAGCAAACAGG